GGCGGUAUUUUAAUCUCAUUCACGAGGAACCUGUUUUAUAAUUGAUAAUCCUCAUUAUAUCUUACUUAAUUUUAUUUAAUUUGUAUACCCGUCGUCAUAAGAAUCUCUUAAAAAAGAAAAAAUUUUCUAAAAUUUUAAUUAAUAAUAAUGUCAGAUCAAGGUGCAGUUUAUAGUUAAGAAAAAAUGAGUUACAAUAAAAUUAUUUAAUAACAGUUUUAAAGAUUCAAUUCUUUAAUUAAGGUGGAUUUGAUAGUAAAAUAAAUAAUUAAAUUUAUUUGAUUUUAGUUCUAAAAUAUGU
rnacentral:rRNA from 1 species